CUUUCUUCUCCUUUUCGUAGUUUCUGGUUUUCCGGAGAUUUCGUCGCCGUCCGGCCACCCCAGGACGAACCGUUUGGCAUGGCGUGAUCCUCUCCUCCUUCUCUACCUAGUCAUCUCGUUUUGAUCGGUGGAGGAAGAUUUGAAGGUGUUUGAGAAUGUGAACAGUACUGUGAACAGUAACUAUCGAAUUCUUGGGUUCUUGUUUGAUUUUUCUGGACAUUUCUACUUAAAUUUGGUUGUUGUUGCAGGUCGUACUGAUCCCUCGAGCGAGGAGGACACAGGCAGGCAGCAGGGUUAGCUGCGAGACUCACCUGUGAGUGGACUUUUGUUUUAUUUAAAUAAUGUAUGCAGCACAGUAUUAAAUUU